rnacentral:rRNA from 1 species
UAGUCCACGCCGUAAACGAUGGAUACUAGCUGUUGGGUUUCGGCUCAGUGGCUAAGCGAAAGUGAUAAGUAUCCCACCUGGGGAGUACGUUCGCAAGAAUGAAACUCAAAGGAAUUGACGGGGGCCCGCACAAGCGGUGGAGCAUGUGGUUUAAUUCGAUGAUACGCGAGGAACCUUACCUAGGCUACAAUGUGAGUGACCGCUGCUGAAAGGCAGUUUUCCUUCGGGACACGAAACAAGGUGCUGCAUGGUUGUCGUCAGCUCGUGCCGUGAGGUGUUGGGUUAAGUUCUAUAACGAGCGCAACCCCUGUGGUUAGUUGCCAGCGAGUAAUGUCGGGAACUCUAGCCAGACUGCCGGUGCAAACCGUGAGGAAGGUGGGGAUGACGUCAAAUCAUCACGGCCCUUACGUCCUGGGCCACACACGUGCUACAAUGGUAGGGACAGAGAGCAGCCACUUAGCGAUAAGGAGCGAAUCUAUAAACCCUAUCUCAGUUCGGA